CAUGAGUUCGAGGUGGACGAGGAUGGUGAGGGCAUUGUCGACGCACCGACAGGAAGAGGAGGCAACUACACCAAUGAUGAAGACAUCUUGCUAUGCAAUACUUGGUUGCAAGUGUCAAGGGAUCCAUCCGUUGGAGGUGAUCAAAGUAGAGAUGCAUAUUGGAACCGGAUGAAGGAGCACUUUGAUCUACACAACAAGAGUGGAGUUGACUGCUCGGAACGAUCUCUUCGCUCCCGGUGGUCAACAAUCAACCGAGAUUGUCAAAAGUGGGCGGCCGCACAAAAGGCGGUUGACAAG
rnacentral:rRNA from 1 species